rnacentral:rRNA from 1 species
UACAGAGGUCUCAAGCGUUGUUCGGAUUCAUUGGGCGUAAAGGGCGCGUAGGCUGCGGGGCACGUCGGGUGUGAAAUCUCAGAGCUCAACUCUGAAACUGCACUCGAUACUGCUUUGCUUGAGGACUGGAGAGGAGAUUGGAAUUCACGGUGUAGCAGUGAAAUGCGUAGAUAUCGUGAGGAAGACCAGUGGCGAAGGCGGAUCUCUGGACAGUUCCUGACGCUGAGGCGCGAAGGCCAGGGGAGCAAACGGG